rnacentral:rRNA from 1 species
GUCCACGCCCUAAACGAUGUCUACUAGUUGUCGGGUUUAAUUAACUUGGUAACGCAGCUAACGCGUGAAGUAGACCGCCUGGGGAGUACGGUCGCAAGAUUAAAACUCAAAGGAAUUGACGGGACCCGCACAAGCGGUGGAUGAUGUGGAUUAAUUCGAUGCAACGCGAAAACCUUACCUACCCUUGACAUGGAUGGAAUCCCGGAGAGAUUUGGGAGUGCUCGAAAGAGAACCAUCACACAGGUGCUGCAUGGCUGUCGU